ensembl:snoRNA SNORA80E small nucleolar RNA SNORA42/SNORA80 family
GCAUGGUAAUGGAUUUAUGAUGGGCCCUUCUCUGUGAGUCUUUCAUAGUGGACCCAUGCCAGAAUAAACUGCAGCCUCAAACCAUUGCCGAGCCCCUACCCAUGGGCUGUGAGCACUGACGAGAGCUGUACACCC